rnacentral:tRNA from 1 species
GUUGUAGCUCAGUGGUAGACCACUUGCCUAGCACAUGUGAGGCACUGAGUUCGAUCCUCAGCACUACA